GACGAACGCUGGCGGCGUGCCUAAUACAUGCAAGUCGAACGCAGUGGGGACGGGUGAGUAACACGUGGGUAACCUCCCAUCAGAGGGGAUAACACUUGGAAACAGGUGCUAAACCGAUACUGAUGGAUGGACCCGCGGUGCAUUAGCUAGUUGGUGAGGUAACGGCUCACCAAGGCCACGAUGCAUAGCCGGCCGUGGAGGGUGAUCGGCCACACUGGGACUGAGACACGGCCCAGAAUCCUACGGGGGGGAGCAGUAGGGAAUCUUCGGCAAUGGACGAAAGUCUGACCGAGCAACGCCGCGUGAGUGAAGAAGGGUUUCGGGUCGUAAAGCUCUGUUGAUAGAGAAGCGGUAACUAAACAGAAAGGGACGGCUAACUACGUGCCAGCAGCCGCGGUAAUAC
rnacentral:rRNA from 1 species